GACGAACGCUGGCGGCGUGCUUAACACAUGCAAGUCGAACGGAAAGGCCCUGCUUUUGUGGGGUGCUCGAGUGGCGAACGGGUGAGUAACACGUGAGUAACCUGCCCUUGACUUUGGGAUAACUUCAGGAAACUGGGGCUAAUACCGGAUAGGAGCUCCUGCUGCAUGGGGGGGGUUGGAAAGUUUCUGCGGUUGGGGAUGGACUCGCGGCUUAUCAGCUUGUUGGUGGGGUAGUGGCUUACCAAGGCUUUGACGGGUAGCCGGCCUGAGAGGGUGACCGGCCACAUUGGGACUGAGAUACGGCCCAGACUCCUACGGGAGGCAGCAGUGGGGAAUAUUGCACAAUGGGCGGAAGCCUGAUGCAGCAACGCCGCGUGAGGGAUGACGGCCUUCGGGUUGUAAACCGCUUUCGCCUGGGACGAAGCGUGAGUGACGGUAACUGGUAAAGAAGCACCGGCUAACUACGUG
rnacentral:rRNA from 1 species